UACGAAGGGUGCGAGCGUUAUUCGGAAUCACUGGGCGUAAAGGGCGCGUAGGUGGCUUCUUAAGUCAACCGUUAAAUUUCUCAGCUUAACUGGGAGUCAGCGGGUGAUACUGAGAGGCUAGAGUGCAGAAGAGAAGAGUGGAAUUCUCGGAGUAGCGGUAAAAUGCGUAGAUCUCGAGAGGAACACCGGUUGCGAAGGCGGCUCUUUGGUCUGUAACUGACAUUAAAGCGCGAAAGCGUGGGGAG
rnacentral:rRNA from 1 species